rnacentral:lncRNA from 1 species
GUUUGCUGUUAUAAGCAGCACUAUAGCUGUUUUGCCUACAGUCAAGAAUCUGAACAGUGGAUCAUGUAUGACGACGAAACUGUUAAGGUAAAAUUGCAAUCUAUAGUCAUGUAAUCCUUCAUUAUCCUUUUUGUAGUUUGUCUAUGAUUGAUAUUUGAUGUCUAGGUAAUUGGUGGCUGGAAUGACGUCGUUUCUAUGUGUGAAAGACGAUGCCUGCAACCCCAAGUCCUCUUUUUCGAAGCUGUAAACUAGUACUUAACUGGAUUCAACUGUCAAACUUCUGCGCGUCAUUCAGUCUUGAACACAAUGCAAUGUGAUAUCUGCCAGUGUACUUUCUGAUAUUACAAAGUCAAUACGAAGGCCGGAACUGUAUCAUAAAGUCAAAUUUUUUGUUGUAUAAUGACCAGAAAUUGGAGCAAUUAUGUGUAAGAAAAGGAAUAAAGUUUGAAAAAAGGAUACCAAUGAAGAUAGAAAAAAUAGAAAAUGGGUUUUGAUGCUCACUGGAGGCUCAGUAUAAUUCGGUUUUUCUUGGCUGCUUUCUUUUAAUUCUGCGAUCUUUCUAACUUGUAUUAUUAAAGGAACCUUGCUGG